ACUCAAAUGAAUAGACGGGAACCCGCACAAGCGGUGGAUCACGUGGUUUAAUUCGAUACUGAGCGAAGAACCUUACCAAGGCUUGAAAUCUAGCUGCACGCUUCCGGAAACGGAAGCCUCCUUCGAGGGUGCUAGACAGGUGUUGCAUGGUUGUCGUCAGCUCGUGGCGUGAGCUGUUGGGUUAAGUCCCGCAACGAGCGCAACCCUUGCCCUGUGUUGAAAUCUCACAGGGGACUGCCGGCGUAUAGUCGGAGGAAGGCGAGGAUGACGUCAAAUCCGCAUGGCCCUCUGAUGCCUUGGGCUACACGCGUGAUACAAUGGCCGAUACAAAGGGACGCAGAACCGUAAGGCGAAGCAAAUCCCAUCAAAGUCGGUCCCAGUUCGAAUCGAGGGCUGCAACUCGCCCUCGUGAAGCCGGAAUCGCUAGUAACCGUGGGUCAGCCAUACCACGGUGAAUACGUUCUCGGGUUUUGUACACACCGCCCGU
rnacentral:rRNA from 1 species